CCUACGGGUGGCAGCAGUGAGGAAUAUUGCUCAAUGGCCGUAACGCUGAUGCAGCGACGUCGCGUGAGUGAAGAAGUAUCUCUGUAUGUUAAGCUUCAUUUGUAGGGGAGUAAAUGUCUGCACCUGUCUAUGUUUCCCUGUCCAACUUCGUGCCGGCAGCCGUGGUAAUAUGCAGGAGGCAAGCGUUAUCCGGAUUUACCGGGUGUUAAGGGGGCGUAGUCGGUCAGAUAAGUCAGUAGUGAAAACUCGCGGCUCAACUACAGGGGUGCUGUUGAAACUGUAUGACUGGAGUGUGGUCGAGGUAGGUGGAAUGCCUGGUGUAGCGGUGAAAUGCAUAGAUAUUAGGCAGAACACCGGUGGUGAAGGCAGCUUACUAAGCUAUAACUGACGCUGAGGCUCGAAAGCGUGGGGAGCAAACAGGAUUAGAUACCCGAGUAGUC
rnacentral:rRNA from 1 species